rnacentral:sRNA from 1 species
AUUAUGCUUAAACAGUGAAAUUUUAUGUUCAUACAUAUUUAUGAUGAGAGCAAGCUCAUGAAGCUUUCAAAAUGGCCCAAUCCCUUGAUCCAUCUUAUUUAAUGUGCUGGAUUGGACAAGCUCUUAUUGCUGAGGCAGUUGGAAGUUAUGACACCAUGGAUCUCUUCAGGCACACUACAGAACUAAAUAUGCAUACCGAAGGAGCAUUAGGUUAUGCGUAUUGGGUCUGCACAACAUUGCAAGAUAAAAGCAACAGAGAAACAGAGCUGUACCAGUACAACAUCCUCCAGAUGAAUGCUAUUCCAGCAGCACAAGUUAUUUUGAAUAAAUAUGUAGAAAGAAUUCAGAAUUAUGCUCCAGCUUUCACAAUGUUGGGUUACUUAAACGAACAUCUACAACUGAAAAAGGAAGCAGCAAAUGCAUACCAAAGGGCAAUUUUGUUGUUACAGACUGCAGAAGACCAAGAUACUUACAAUGUUGCAAUAAGAAAUUACGGCAGAUUGUUAUG